CAGAGCAGGAGGAGGAAAAGGAAGAGGAGCCCUGGGAUCCCCGCCAUGCUGAGCACCACUCUGUAGGAACAAAGAUAAGCAGGUCUUUGUAUCUAUGUUCCUGGCUCCACUGAAUGCCUUGAAUUUGGCCCUAUGCUAAUGCUCGCUCAACAAAGAUUUAUUGAGUGGAUUUACUGAAUGAGUACUUGUAUUCAUCGAAGAGUGAGUGAGUGAUUCGUGUAGCUACAAAAACCACAUUUCUGGAACGAUGCAUGCUGAGUGCUAAUGACAGAGAUGUAUGUGGAUGAUGGGGCGGCUCUGGGGAAAGGGCAUGGAAUCCAGGUGUGGGGAGGAUCAAGAACAGGGGAGCCAUUCCAGGGAAGGUGAUGCUUGAGGUGGGUGGUGAAGAUGAGGAGAAGUUAGAUAAUCUAAGACAGGGUGAAGGGGACACUUCGAGAGAGGGGACGGUAGUACGCAAAGACACGGAGACGUGCAACCGUGCAAGUCAUUUCAGAAACUGUACUUAGCUCAGCAAAGGUGGGAGAGGUGGGGGGCAAGAACCAUAUUAUGUAAGACUGUGUAUACUAACUGAAGAAGUUUAGAUUUUCUCCUGAAAUGUAUGUUCAAAGAGCUGGAUCAAUCAUCCCACCAGAAAAACAACAAUGAAAAAUGAGAUUGGGAAGUACUCCCAUAAACAUUCAAGGACCAGCUGGCUCUGAUUGGCUGUGAAUCUUCUGUUCAGGAAAAGCUGAUGUAGCAGGGUCACAAAAGCCCAGGGCAAGCACUCUGCUGUACACAAACAGGAUCUGCACCAUCAUUUACUGUUUGGGAGCUACAUGCACAGAAUUCAGGAGGCCAGAGGUGGAGGGGAAGAGGAAAAUUUAUUUUGCUAAUCUCUUGCCUAUCUGGGAGACAAGAUUUCCCUCCUCAGUUCUCCAAGGAAACAAAGGCCUCCA